CAGUAGAAUUUAACUACUUAAUCAUUUAUGUGCUAUCUUCUAUUACGAGGGGAAUGAACUCUUUGGUGCAUCACACUUGGACACCUGAGGAUAAGGGACCGAAAUAAAAAAAGAUAGCAGCCCAAGAUUCAUCUCCUCUUUGUCCACUGGCCCCCACGGUCGUGUGCUUGAUGCCAGCCCGGAUGCUGCUGGCCUCACCUGGGUGCCUUCGCCUUGCUGGAGAGAAAGGUUGUGCAGAGCGGCCCCUUCAUCAGAACUGCAAGGGGACAAACAUCAAGAAACUGUAAGGAAGGAAGAUGGCCGCAGUUGUCUCUGCUCAGUCUGGGAGCACCACUCCCUGCAUGUGUCCUGACCUGACCUCCGUGCAGUGGCUGACCAGCACUGAACCCACCAAGUGUGCUCACACCAGGGCAUCAUCUGCUUCUGCUGAGUCUGUGCUGAUUCUCUGAAAACAGUGUGAUCAGACAUGAGGAUUGAUAGUGAUAUAAGGAUUCUACUGACCAUUUAAAAUCUGACCAUUCUAAUACAACAGAAAGUAUACUACUCCUUAACCAUUUGCCUUGUUAUGUAGGAGUCUGAGUAUCACAUAAUGAAAAGUUCCCGCGAAUUUCAUGUUACUGAAAUGGAAAGUAAAAUGUCUGUGGUGAGAUAGCCAUGUGAAAACGAAGCAUUUUUGCCUGUAACUUAAAGAUAAUUGUGUAGUUUUUCCACCUUUGUAAAACAAGAAAGUUUUCCAGGCAGGAAGCGUGGGCAGCCUUGUGUCUCAGUCUCCAGGGAGGGUCGUUUACUCAGAAAGCAGGGAAUGGUGCUUCUGGUGUUUCUUUUACAAAGCUUCAGACUGUGGUAGGUUGGACACCUGGGGGCUGUUGCAGAGACACGCUGAGUUAGUUUGCUGUUUUAGCAGUGCUGCCCAGCACAGGCCAUCUGCAGCGCCCACAGUGCACAAGAUAUUGUAGUUACUAUUCUUGCCUAGUUAGCUUUUCCACUUGUACUACGUAGGUCUCAGAAGUUCCACACAGCAAUUCUUCUUGGCCUACUGGCCAAUUUCCCCAGAAAUUCAGACCUUUUUAGAUUUUAACAACGAAUGACUGAGACUAUCCAAGUCUAGAAAUAGUGUUUCCCUGCAGCCACCAAGCCCAAGAUAACUAACCCGUGUUAACUAAGCCUCAGUCAGCACCAUGAGGAUGGUGCAAAGCCAUCUCACUCUACAUGAGUCCAGAAGCAAGAGUACAGCCUGUGGUGAGGGAGAAGGGAAGCUCCCCAAAAGUUAGUUACUAGUUAGAAGUACCUUCUCCAUUUCUAAACAGGGGUUGUGCUUAAGGCUUCCAGAAUGCAUUCAUUUUCCCCAUUCUAUCGCUUUAUGAUUGUAACCAGACUUCUGGCAUAUUUAUCCGGCAUGAUGUAAGACAAGAAUUGCUGACUCAUCCUCAAGUACAUCUAAUAAUGCCUUGUAUCGCUUCCUCUGAGAGGUCUUGCAAAACUGUUAGGUCUUUUAUUUAUUUAUUUAUUUUAUUUAUUUAUUUUUGAGCUAUGUUACUCGUAGAUAAGAACACACUGUAAGAAAUGUAUGCAGUCCAACUGAACUGAAUAAUUUGUAUCUAUAUUAUUCCUUACAUUUUUAGUUGGUAACACUGUGUGCAGGCAUCAAUAUAUCACCAUUAAAUUGUUUGAAACUUGACUAAUGAAAACAGUAUAACACACUGAUGUCUUGCAGGGUUAGUGAGAAUGAUUAGAAAUGCAUUUUUUUAUUAACAGGCCUUUUAAUGAAGAGAAUUAGAAGUCCAAAUGAAGAAAUCUUUCUCUGAAUAUAUCUUUAUUAAUUCAGUACGACAUUUGCUUGCUGUGUUUUCCAGAGAUGAAGGUCACUGGAAUUUAUAAUAGCAGUGCACGGCCUCAAGAAACGUUGCACACAUUCAGAAGCUACAAAAACAAAAUUUGCAGCUGCCCUCAACAUCUUGUUUGGCACUAGGCCCCAAAUACAGUCUGCACCUUGAAACUUAGUCCAUGAAAGCUCCUGAGAACCCUGAUAAAAUGCUGCUGAGAGGGUAGCUCCUCCAGAUUCCUCUUUUCUGAUGUCAAAUUUGUUUGUGAAUACAAAAUUACCCUCAGCCAGUAAGUGAUACAUUGAAAAUGCACAUAUCCAGAAGACACAGGCAGUGUUCUGUGGUUUGGAGCUGCAUGGAUGUGGAGGUGCAUGGCCAGUGGAAAGAAGAAUGCGGAUCUGUAUUUCAAUUUCUUUUCGCAUUUAAAAGGAUUUAUACUUGCCAGAAAAUGCAGUGUUUAUUCAUAUCAUCUUCUGGUGCUUCAGUUUCCAAGCUCUGUUACUUACCUGACCUACGUCCUCAGCAUCUGAAUGGGGAAUGUCAACCAGACAGCAGGUGGAACUUCAGAAAGAAAUAUGAAAACCGGUUUGAAGUUACAGCUUUCUGCUAAAGAGCCAGUUAUUGGCCCGGGCCUCUUCCGUUUAGAUAAGAAAAACAUUUAGAUUUUGCCUCAGCUAAACAAAUAAAAUGAAACCUUACAUUCCUUUAUAACUCUGAAUUUGAACCGGUACUCUAAGUUAACGCCCAAGCAAUUUAAGUCAAGUUGUCAUUUCAUUACUGAAAACAAUCUCAGUGAGCAAAGCAGAACUGGAAAAGAACUCGUUAUCAGUGGAGAGAGAAGAAACCUAUGUAUUCCUCUUCAAAGAAGUCUUGCUCUUAUCAGCCUAUCAGGCUGCACUUGCUGUGAUUCCAAAGAGACCGGUUCCUCUGUUCUCUGAAAUCCUCUGUUCAGAAAAUGUAUUCCUCCAUCUGUCCACAUAGUCCCACUGAAUUAAGAAACAGUGGGAGCACAAAUUUCUUGUUUGCCUCUUAUGGCAAAACGAGAACAAUUGACUGGGAAUCAGGGCAAGGAUCUAAAGGUGCUGAGAUGUGUUUCAGUCUUCUGUAGACGCAGUGGUUUUGCAUUGAGAUUUGUGCUAUUUGCCAAGUUCAGGCACUAAUCAAAGCACAGAAAAUAGCAGAAAACAAAGAAGCCAAACGUGACUCUACUUCUCAGACAACUGGAAAUCUUUGGAAAGGCCAAAGGCACAGAAAAGGCAGUAAAAGUGCAGUGAAGGUCGUGAACUCUCUGACAAAAACAGCAAUUUCUUUAUUGUAAGACAAUUUCUAGGACUGCAACUCUGCACAAAAUGAAGAGAAAUAGUGUAACCUAAAACCAAAAACAUUAAUACACAUUUCCUGAUUAUAUUAAUAUAAAGAUUCUACAUAAUUUCAGAUGAGGAAGGAACUUUUCAGAACACAUUUAGGAGGCUUUUUUCUACAAAACUUUUUUUCCUGGGAGAAGUAUUUAUUUUUUUCUUGUUUUCAUAUUUCCUUCCACGGAGAUAUGUUACCUCUGGUGCUAUUCUGUGUGUUUCUCUCCAGACACCGGUUGUGUUCCCACUGCCUCACGAUAUGCUGGGGCCCUGGCGGAGUUUGUUUCCAGUGCCAUCCCUUCAGUCUUCCAAAAUCCUGAGCUUAAGCUACCAAAAUUUGCAGUGGGUUUUUGCAGAGCAGUUCUGCCAGCUCAAUCACAACCUCUUGAAAGAAAACGUUGCAUGAAGCUGCCCUGUCCUUAGGCCCUCAGCAAGGAAACUCUGCAGUCCAGAGGGGCUGUUUAAGGUUUCUCUGGUCCCCGGCUGUGUCACAGUUUGCUCCUUUUGGGCAUGACUGAGCAAUGCCAAGUCACCAUAAGCUGACAUGGAACAAGUACUUUGCAGCCAAGCAAAUAAAAUAUCUGUACUCAUCAAGUUUCAGUUGACUUACUUUUAUUUCUCUGAAACUUUUGUCAAAACCAUCCCAAAUAACGGGUUCUUUAUCUUAUUUUGUUAUCUUUAGAAUAAAAAUGGACUGCAGCACACUUCAUACUGUAAACAGUGACUCUGAGUGGCCUUACUCCAGCAGCAGCUGAACAAAUAUUUCUAAUAUGGACAACUCCUCUUUCUCAGAUGGACAGACCGCAUAUUUUUAUAACUCCCUGUCAGUUCUCAUGUCUAAUGUGGUCAGCUUGUGGAGGGAAGCUCCCAGAAAGGAAAGAAUUCAAACAUCACAGCUACCUUUUCAGUAGCCUUAACCAGAAUGUACCUUCCUAGGAGCAUCCCCAGAGGACCCAUUCUGAACUCUCCAAGUUAAGGUCAAUAGGCUGCCGACAGCUAAGAGAGCUUCAAGAA